rnacentral:lncRNA from 1 species
CAAAAAGGCCCGUGAGUGGUUUAAGAACUAUGUGAGCCCGAGGUUGGACAGCCUAUCAUGGGAGGAGUUUGCAAAUGAAUUUGAAGGAUGGGCUUUUCCUGACAGUUCAAGAGAAUUGAAGAUGAUUGAAUUUGAACAGUUAAGGCAGACAGAGGAAAUGAGUGUAGAGGAGUACACCGACAGAUUCUUGGAGCUGUUGCCGUUUGCAGGGCAAACUCUUGACACAGACCAGAAGAAGUCAAGGAGGUAUAUCAUGAAACUUCACUCCAGGUAUUCCUCCUUGAUUC